AGGGCACACAGUGGAUGCCUUGGCACUUGGAGGCGAUGAAGGACGUGACGAACUGCGAUAAGCUGCGGUUAGCUGUAAGUAAGCUAUGACCCGCAGAUUUCCGAAUGGGGAAACCCACCUAUGGUCAUGCAUAGGUAUCUUUAGAGUGAAUACAUAGCUCUUUAGAAGCGAUACCCAGGGAACUGAAACAUCUAAGUACCUGGAGGAAAAUAAAGAAAAAUCGAUUCCCCUAGUAGCGGCGAGCGAAAAGGGAAGAGCCCAAACCAGCUUCGGCUGGGGUUGUAGGACACCAUUUUAGAGUUACAAAAUUAUUUGAUAGUUGAAUUAGUUGGAAAGCUAAACCGUAGUCGGUGAUAGUCCGGUAAACGAAAUUAAAUAAUCUCUUUGGUGUAUCCUGAGUACGGCGGGACACGAGAAAUCCCGUCGGAAUCCACGGGGACCACCCCGUAAGGCUAAAUACUACCAAGUGACCGAUAGUGAACAAGUACCGUGAGGGAAAGGUGAAAAGAACCCCGGGAGGGGAGUGAAAUAGAUCCUGAAACUGUGUUGCCUACAAGUAGUCAGAGCUCGUUAAUGAGUGAUGGCGUGCUUUUUGCAGAAUGAGCCGGCGAGUUACGGUAGCAUGCAAGGUUAAGUUGAAAAGACGGAGCCGUAGGGAAACCAAGUCUUAAUAGGGCGAAUUAGUAUGUUGCUGUAGACCCGAAACCAAGUGAUCUACCCAUGAGCAGGUUGAAGUUGGGGUAAUACCUAAUGGAGGACCGAACCACCGCACGUUGAAAAGUGCUUGGAUGACUUGUGGGUAGCGGAGAAAUUCCAAUCGAACUUGGAGAUAGCUGGUUCUCUCCGAAAUAGCUUUAGGGCUAGCCUUACAAAUGAGAUUACUGGAGGUAGAGCACUGAUAGUGUGAUGGCCCCAUCCAGGGGUACUGAUCAUUGACAAACUCCGAAUGCCAGAUAAUUGCUUUGUAGGAGUCAGGCUGCGGGUGCUAACGUCCGUAGCCGAGAGGGAAAGAACCCAGACCAUCAGCUAAGGUCCCAAAAUAUAUGUUAAGUGGAAAAGGUUGUUUGUUUGCUAAGACACCCAGGAGGUUGGCUUAGAAGCAGCCACUCCUUUAAAGAGUGCGUAAUAGCUCACUGGUCGAGUGAACAUGCGCCGAAAAUGUAACGGGGCUAAACAUAUUACCGAAGCUGUGGAUUAUACAUUUAUGUAUAGUGGUAGGAGAGCGUUCUAAUCAGCGUUGAAGGUAUACCGUGAGGAGUGCUGGAGCGAUUAGAAGUGAGAAUGCCGGCGUAAGUAACGAAAGGCAGGUGAGAAUCCUGCCCACCGAACAUCGAAGGUUUCCUGGGGAAGGCUCGUCCGCCCAGGGUUAGUCAGGACCUAAGGCGAGGCCGAAUGGCGUAGUCGAUGGACAACGGGUUAAUAUUCCCGUACUAGUUAAUGUUGCGAUGGAGUGACGGAGAAGGAUAGUCAAACCCAGUUAUUGGAUUCUGGGCCAAAUAGUGAGGCUUGUGUGUAGGCAAAUCCGCACACUUUAAGGCUGGGCUAUGAUGGGGAUGCUCGUAAGAGAUAAGUUGAUGUGUUCAUGCUUCCAAGAAAAGCUUCUAAGCUUAAACAUUAGCUACCUGUACCAAAACCGACACAGGUAGAUGGGUUGAGUAUACUAAGGUGAGCGAGAGAACUCUUGUUAAGGAACUCGGCAAAAUGGAUCCGUAACUUCGGGAUAAGGAUCGCUUUUCUAGGUACGCCUAGGAGAGCCGCAGUGAAUAGGCCCAAGCGACUGUUUAUCAAAAACACAGGUCUAUGCUAAACCGUAAGGUGAUGUAUAUGGGCUGACGCCUGCCCGGUGCUGGAAGGUUAAGAGGAGGUGUUAGACUUCGGUCGAAGCUCUGAAUUGAAGCCCCAGUAAACGGCGGCCGUAACUAUAACGGUCCUAAGGUAGCGAAAUUCCUUGUCGGGUAAGUUCCGACCCGCACGAAAGGCGUAACGAUUUGGGCACUGUCUCAACAAGAGACUCGGUGAAAUCAUGGUACGAGUGAAAACGCUCGUUACCCGCGACAGGACGAAAAGACCCCGUGGAGCUUUACUAUAGCUUGAUAUUGGGUUUUGAUAUAUUUUGUACAGCAUAGGUGGGAGACUAUGAUUUAGGGACGCUAGUUUCUAAUGAGUCAUCCUUGGGAUACCACCCUUGAUAUAUUAAAAUCCUCACUCUGGACCAUUAUCUGGUUCGAGGACAGUGUCUGGUAGGUAGUUUGACUGGGGCGGUCGCCUCCUAAAAGGUAACGGAGGCGCCCAAAGGUUCCCUCAAGAUGGUCGGAAAUCAUCUUAAGAGUGCAAUGGCAUAAGGGAGCUUGACUGCGAGACCUACAAGUCGAGCAGGUACGAAAGUAGGGC
rnacentral:rRNA from 1 species